rnacentral:rRNA from 1 species
AAAAGAUUCCGUAGCCACCGAAGUCGUUAAAUACAGGGACACAGGAACAUAGCCUAACCCCGCCGUUGGUUGAGUGGGGCGUAAGGGAGCGAAAAUUAGUAGCGAAGUAGGUGAUUGUACACUGGCGAGAAAAGCUGUAUGUAUUGAUAAGGUGCCCGUACCGCAAACCGACACAGGUAGAUGAGGAGAGAAUCCUAAGACCAGCGGGAGAAGUGUUGUUAAGGAACUCGGCAAAAUGACCCCGUAACUUCGGGAUAAGGGGAGCCUACGCGAGUAGGCCGCAGAGAAUAGUCUCAAGCGACUGUUUAGCAAAAACACAGGUCUAUGCUAAAUCGAAAGAUAAUGUAUAUGGGCUGACGCCUGCCCGGUGCUGGAAGGUUAAGGGGAAGUGUUAGAGCAAUCGAAGCACUGAACUUAAGCCCCAGUAAACGGCGGCCGUAACUAUAACGGUCCUAAGGUAGCGAAAUUCCUUGUCAGGUAAGUUCUGACCCGCACGAAUGGCGUAACGACUUGAGAGCUGUCUCAACAACAUACCCGGCGAAAUUGAAGUACUGGUAAAGAUGCCAGUUACCCGUGAUAAGACGGAAAGACCCCAUGGAGCUUUACUGUAACUUGAUAUUGAAUUUUUGUAUUACAUGUACAGGAUAGGUGGGAGACAGAGAACUAAUGCCGCCAGGUGUUAGGGAGUCGAUGUUGGGAUACCACUCUUGUAAUAUGAAGGUUCUAACCUGCACCCGUGAAUCCGGGUGGGGGACACUGUCAGGUGGACAGUUUGACUGGGGCGGUCGCCUCCUAAAAGGUAACGGAGGCGUUCAAAGGUUGGUUCAGCACGGACGGAAAUCGUGCAACGAGUGCAAACGCAUAAACCAGCCUAACUGCGAGACCGACAAGUCGAGCAGUAACGAAAGUUGGAGUUAGUGAUCCGGCGGUAUGAGAGUGGAAUUGCCGUCGCUCAACGGAUAAAAGCUACCCUGGGGAUAACAGGCUGAUCUCCCCCAAGAGUCCACAUCGACGGGGAGGUUUGGCACCUCGAUGUCGGCUCAUCGCAUCCUGGAGCUGUAGUCGGUUCCAAGGGUUGGGCUGUUCGCCCAUUAAAGCGGUACGCGAGCUGGGUUCAGAACGUCGCGAGACAGUUCGGUCCCUAUCUAUCACGGGCGUAGGAAAUUUGGGGAGAGCUGACCUUAGUACGAGAGGACCGGGUUGGACGUACCGCUGGUGCACCUGUUGUCCUGCCAAGGGCAUAGCAGGGUAGCUAAGUACGGACGGGAUAAACGCUGAAGGCAUCUAAGCGUGAAGCCCCCUUCGAGAUAAGAUUUCCCAUAGCGUAGGCUAGUAAGGACCCAUGAAGACUACAUGGUUGAUAGGCCGGAGGUGGAAGUGCAGUAAUGUAUGUAGCUGACCGGUACUAAUAGUCCGAGGGCUUGACCG